AGAGUCAUUAGUUAUCACUUAGGAAGAUGAAAUUGAGGCAGCUGCCAGGGAGCUGAGGGCAAUUAAAGUAGUUGCUAUUAGCCUUUAGAGCCUAAAACAAAUCUCCCCAAGUGUCUGUUUUCCAUCAUCCCUGAGCAGGCCUUCUAAUUUGAGGCUAUCUUGCUCCUCCAGGGCAGAACUGGAUGGAGCAGGACAUGGGACACAAGAGGCUUGGGGGGACUUUAGGGUGUGGACAGGGUACCUGGCUCACUAAUCGAUCAAUUUUCUGUGCCUCCAGGCCUUUCUCUUUCCUUCCCCUCAUUCAUGCAGAUAAUCGUAUGUCAAAUAUCUUCGAUUGUGUUCUGCAGUGUCUGUUCCCUUAAACGGUGAGGUAACGUGUCUGGUGCCAAAGCUGAUAUUCUGAGCCUGAGUUUAGUGGAUAACCUGCCAAGGCCCAGCUGUGUGUGGAUGCCAGGCUUCUUUAUGGCUAGAAUCCAAUAUAGUCAUAAAUAAGCCCGGAGAAGCAACUGUCAGGAGAACUAAACAGGAAUGCCUAUUGUUUCUGAGGCUCUGGAGACUGAGAGGAAUUCAUAUUGCGUCUUUCACUUUGGAUUUUAACUCUGACAUAACUUGGCCCAAGCUAACUGUACUCCAUGGACAAAAAGAGCCCUGCGAAGUGAUGUGACCUUCGCCACAGGGACGGACACCUUCACAACGGGAAAAAUGGGUUUGGCACAGAUGAUUUUGAAUCACAUCCUGGAUGUCAUAUUACUUCACUCAUUGAAGUUGUUGCCAUCCAGAUGCCAGGACCAGGAGAACAUCCCAGGCUACAGGAGACGGUGACUGGGAGACUGCGAAUGCCUCGAGGGCAAGGAUGGCCUCUUUCUCAUCUUUGUCCCUCCACCUGCCUGGGCACAGCCAGCCUGAGCUGUUGACGGAAGGGAACGUGUGAGGAGCGGAUGUGACACUGUCCACCAGAGGGCGUUGGCUGCUGCAUUGCUUCCUUCUCAUUUCUGGAAUCUCUUCCCUGGAUGGCCAGGAUGUGACAGAUUGGCCAGAUCUGAAAUGCCCCUGAGGCUCUAAGAGUUCCUGCUUCUCAUCUUCUUGGUGUUGUGCCCUUUCCUCUGAAGAACCUGGGCUGCUUGGCUGGUGUUGACUUCCCUCUGCUGUGAGCCGGAGUUCCCCAGGGAACCCAAGGGCCAGGGUGGAGCCCACUGGCUUCCUCUGGGCUCUGGCUGGGAGACCGCCUGCCCUGAAGGACUGAGUAGUCCUUAUUCUCCCUGACCCCUGAGCUCCUAUCAUUCAGCCUGAGACUGAUAGGACUCCUGGGAUCUGCUGGGGCAUCUCAGGUGGGCAGGGGAAGAGGCCUCUCUGUAACUGGACUUCAUCUACUGUUUCUGGAAGGGACUUGGUGCUUGUGUCUUUCAAGUUAUCUGUCUCCAGGCAUCCUGCAGGUCAGUGCCUGGUCUUCAGAAAGUCCUGUUGUAAGAGGAAGACAGCAAACUUGGGGCCUGCCCCCUUAAAUCACUUCCUUGGGGGGAUGAGUUAGAUAUGAACACUUCAGAAGCACACCUGGACAAAUGCAGUAAACUGGAGGUGAACAAAGGCAUGGAUCCUGUCUUAGGAGGGCACAGUGGAGUAGGUGAGGAGAUGAGGCAGUCAGACCCCAGAGCCCAGGGGUGGGAGAAAGCGUGCAGGAUGUGAGCUCUCUGCCUGGGAGCUGGAUAUGCCCAUUUGGUGCUGGAUGAGGGAAAAGAUGUGUCAUGCGUUCAUUUUAUUUCUCUCAUCCACAACUUGCUGUCUUUGUACAUAUUCCAUCUUGGAUGAGUAACAGGGUGAGAGGUCAGUGCCAAAAGGGACUCAGUCAAGUACAGAGGCAGGAAAUCUGUUCGGUCUUCUCCCAGCGGACAGAUCUGGGACAAGCAUAUCAGAAAGCAAAGUGGUGAGGUCCAAUUGGACAGAUUUGAUUUUGGGGUUUUGUAGGUUCAUCUGACUUCAUUCUGGAGCCUGUUAGAAUUUUAUGGCAUGGAAAACUGGAACUAUUUCCCAAGGACACUGGCACAAACAGGGACACCCAGUCCCAGUUGUGGUCUCCACAGGGGGAUUUAAAUGAACUCUCUUGACUGACAUGAGUUCCAACAGUUCUGGUGGGACUGUUUCACUCACUGAAGCUCUAGUUUUGUUUCUCCUGGAUUGGACUUAAAAAAUAAAACCUCAAAAAACUGUGGAACACACUAUUAAAAAACAUGCACUCUGAGUCAAGCGUAAACACAAAGCUGUCUUUUUAUAAAGUCUGAGCUUUGUAAGGUUGCCAGAGUGUUUCUCCUUCAGUUUUAAAAAUUGAAGUUGGAAACCACUGAAGAGUGAAAAACAUGCCAUGGAGGAAUUUCUCAGACACUAAAUUCCCAGGUUUACAUCACAGAGAAGUCAAUGUCUGUGUACAUGAGCCCCAAGGGCAAGGCUGGUUGGACAGAGCCAUGCCACGUUGGCGCCUCGGGGGACACUGUGGAAGAUCAUUUGCUCCAGUGGAACUCCUGAAUAAUAACUGAGAUGUCAUGCUGAAGUUUUGUCAAAAUUUCUCAAUUUCCGGGUCACCUACGUCAUGUGUCUGUGUCCCAAAGUGCAGACCGACACACACACAUAGGAGCCACCCUCCAUUCUAAAUUCAUCUGGGUUGAACCCGAGUGGGCAGUAUGAAGACCAAGGCUUCAGGGUUGCUUUGGGAGCAGUGCUCUGUCACUUGUCUCAUUUUCAAAGCCUUCAGGUUUGGGCUUUAAUCUCCCAGCCCCAGUCCCUGUACCUUCUGGACACUCCUCUUCUGUACCUUCCACCAUGACCCCUUUCUCAACUAUUUUGUUUUCAGCUUUUAGAAAUGACUAGUGAACAAAGAACUCACCAUUCUUGGGCUAACCUCUGGGCACUCCUCAGACCCGAUGGUCCAUUUUCUACUGUAUUCUGUCAUUGGUGUGGGUGAGGGGAGAUGUUGGCAUCAAGAUUCCCAUUGUCUCAUCCUGAGGGCAAUCUCCCAGGCUGAUUUUGCAGGCUGACCCCAGAGUUUGGGGAGCCAGAACAGUGCUGCUUAAUAGCAACUUGGCAGAAUUGUUUUGUCGAAUCUAGAGCAAUACCAGGAGCUUGUAAUUUAAAAAACAUUUUUAUUAUAUGUUACAAAAGAAUUGGACCAUGUAAAUUAGAAAUAAGCAGUUGUCAGUGCAACUGGAAUUCACAGAUGGUUUGAGACACACCAAGUGAGCUAGACUGUCCUAGAGCUUCUGUUGAGGAUCCAGAGGCUGAAAUGCUCCAAGCGGGGUAGUUUUCAAGCAUUAUGAGGUAUAGAUAGAAAAACAGAAAAUGGAAGUCCUUGCAGAAGCCUGUGGAGUGAUACCUGUGAGAUGGUGCUUGAGUUGAUGUGUCAGCUUGGCCCAAUGGGACAGGGAAAAUGGACAAUGUAUGGGUUUCCAUACUGUGCUUCUGGGUGGGUCAAGUCUACCCUGACCACUCCAUAUUUUUCUAGAGGAGAAUUAAGUUCUGGUUAUGGAUGAGAUUUUUGCUGCCCCCCAGCCCUCUCACAACUUCUGGGGACAAUAGGUCUUGGGCUGAUAGGGAGUCAGGGCCGUGGAUAGAUGCAGUGACUGUUCAAGGGACCAAGCCACGGUGCUUCCACAGGAGUUGGGAUUCUCCCUGUACUGUGCCCUUGGCCUCCUUAUCAUCAGCAUGGAGGAUAUGAGAUCAUAGUGCCCACCUGUGCCCUCCGGACUCCUGGCUCCAAUCCACCGCAGCCUCUUGCCAGCCAGUAUGCUGUGGAGGUGUUAACCAUAUCCUUUCAAUAAUGGAAUUAUUGAAUGGGGCGGGACCAUUAGGGGGAGUCCUGAAAGUUCACUCCUAGUAACCUUUUCUGCAGGAGUGAAUAUUCUGCUACGAGGGGCGCUGGCAAAGAGCUACAGCUUUGCCGAUAAACAUCACUGACCAACCUGUUUCCAGGCACAUGCUGAGCCCUUCAUGAUCCCUCUCCUUUAAUGUCACAGCUCUCACAUUUACCCUCAUUUCACACAUUCCAAAAGUGAAGUUCAGCCUUUCUUUGGUGCACUAUCUUCUAUCCGUACUCAGCCAUACACUGAGCUACAACUCAUCCGGGUUAUGAGAACUUAACUUUAGGAGGAAUUUCACUGAACAUCUCAGCUUAUGAGGUAUUUCUUCAUGUUUCCAGAAACCCUUUUGGCUUUUGCAUGUCUCUUGAGCAACUUGAGCGAGCCUGGUGAAAAGAGAGUCACAGUGCAGUCAUUGUCACAAUGUCAAGUUGUGGUUGCCUCAGACAAAUCUUGGUCUGCUAGGUUUGGUGGCAAAAACCUUUGUAUCGUAGGUUUUCUUUGGUCUUUGCCUUUUUUUUUGAAUUACAGGUUUAAUUACAUAAGCCUUGAGUAUCACAGGCCAAAGAACAAACCAAACCCAAGGCUCAGAGAGAUUAAAUAAUUUGCCCAACAUCACACAGCCAGAGAAUGCAGAAACCAGAAUUCAAAGCCGGGUUAGUCUCGCCAGCCACAUGCUUAAUUGGAAUUAUUUAGAAUUCAUAUAUUAUAUGUCAUACUAUAAUUAGAGGCAUUAGAAUGAAAUUCAAGCCAUGUAAUUAAAACCCCAAGGUUCUAUGGUUUCUUUAUGCAAUCGUUAAGGGGUGAAAUAUGAUUUUAAAGGCAUCGAGGGUGGAGAGCAAGCUCUAAACAACACUAUCUGCCAGGUUAGAGUCCAUGUUUAGAAACAUGCCCUAGAGUCAGGUGAUGCAUGUAUUGCUUACUUUGGGCACAAAUCAAGCCUCAUACAUUUUUACACCUCUUUUCCUACCUUUUUGUUUUAAAAAAGCAGCUCAUAGUUGAAGACAU